UACAGAGGUCUCAAGCGUUUGUUCGGAUUCAUUGGGCGUAAAGGGUGCGUAGGUGGUGCUGUAAGUCAGGUGUGAAAUCUCGGGGCUCAACCCCGAAACUGCACUUGAUACUGCGGUGCUCGAGGACUGGAGAGGAGAUUGGAAUUCAUGGUGUAGCAGUGAAAUGCGUAGAUAUCAAUGAGGAAGACCAGUGGCGAAGGCGGAUCUCUGGACAGUUCCUGACACUGAGGCACGAAGGCCAGGGGAGCAAACGGG
rnacentral:rRNA from 1 species